rnacentral:rRNA from 1 species
AGACGUCUACAUUAGAUACCCCUGUAGUCCCAGCCGUAAACUAUGCGCGUUAGGUGUAUCGGUGACCACGAGUCACCGAGGUGCCGAAGGGAAACCGUGAAACGUGCCGCCCGGGAAGUACGGUCGCAAGGCUGAAACUUAAAGGAAUUGGCGGGGAGCACCACAACGGGUGGAGCCUGCGGUUUAAUUGGACUCAACGCCGGGAAGCUCACCGGAUAAGACAGCGGAAUGAUUGCCGGGCUGAAGACUCUGCAUGACUAGCUG